rnacentral:tRNA from 3 species
AGAAAUUUAGGCUAAAUAGACCAAAAGCCUUCAAAGCUUUCAGUAGGAGUGAAAAUCCCCUAAUUUCUG